rnacentral:miRNA from 1 species
AUUGGGUUGGCCAAAAAGUUCAUUUGGGUUUUUCUGUAACAGCUUAUGAAAAACCCAAACGAACUUUUUGGCCAAUGCAAU